rnacentral:rRNA from 1 species
GACGAACGCUGGCGGCGUGCCUAAUACAUGCAAGUAGAACGCUGAAGGAGGAGCUUGCUCUUCUGGAUGAGUUGCGAACGGGUGAGUAACGCGUAGGUAACCUGCCUGGUAGCGGGGGAUAACUAUUGGAAACGAUAGCUAAUACCGCAUAAGAGUAGAUGUCGCAUGACAUUUGCUUAAAAGGUGCAAUUGCAUCACUACCAGAUGGACCUGCGUUGUAUUAGCUAGUUGGUGAGGUAACGGCUCACCAAGGCAACGAUACAUAGCCGACCUGAGAGGGUGAUCGGCCACACUGGGACUGAGACACGGCCCAGACUCCUACGGGAGGCAGCAGUAGGGAAUCUUCGGCAAUGGACGGAAGUCUGACCGAGCAACGCCGCGUGAGUGAAGAAGGUUUUCGGAUCGUAAAGCUCUGUUGUAAGAGAAGAACGAGUGCGAGAGUGGAA